rnacentral:rRNA from 1 species
GACGAACGCUGGCGGCGUGCUUAACACAUGCAAGUCGAACGGAAAGGCCCUGCUUUUGUGGGGUGCUCGAGUGGCGAACGGGUGAGUAACACGUGAGUAACCUGCCCUUGACUUUGGGAUAACUUCAGGAAACUGGGGCUAAUACCGGAUAGGAGCUCCUGCUGCAUGGUGGGGGUUGGAAAGUUUCGGCGGUUGGGGAUGGACUCGCGGCUUAUCAGCUUGUUGGUGGGGUAGUGGCUUACCAAGGCUUUGACGGGUAGCCGGCCUGAGAGGGUGACCGGCGACCUGGGGACUGAGAUACGGCCCAGACUCCUACGGGAGGCAGCAGUGGGGAAUAUUGCACAAUGGGCGGGAGCCUGAUGCAGCAACGCCGCGUGCGGGAUGACGGCCUUCGGGUUGUAAACCGCUUUCGCCUGUGACGAAGCGUGAGUGACGGUAAUGGGUAAAGAAGCACCGGCUAACUACGUG